UACGUAGGGGGCAAGCGUUGUCCGGAUUUAUUGGGCGUAAAGAGCGUGUAGGCGGUUUGGUAGGUCCGCUGUGAAAACUCGAGGCUCAACCUCGAGACGCCGGUGGAAACCAUCAGACUAGAGUCCGGAAGGGGAGACUGGAAUUCCUGGUGUAGCGGUGAAAUGCGCAGAUAUCAGGAGGAACACCGGUGGCGAAGGCGGGUCUCUGGGCAGUAACUGACGCUGAGGAGCGAAAGCGUGGGGAGCGAACAGG
rnacentral:rRNA from 1 species